rnacentral:rRNA from 1 species
AUUGAACGCUGGCGGCAGGCCUAACACAUGCAAGUCGAACGGUAACAGGAAGAAGCUUGCUUCUUUGCUGACGAGUGGCGGACUGGUGAGUAAUGUCUGGGAAACUGCCUGAUGGAGGGGGAUAACUACUGGAAACGGUAGCUAAUACCGCAUAACGUCGCAAGACCAAAGAGGGGGACCUUCGGGCCUCUUGCCAUCGGAUGUGCCCAGAUGGGAUUAGCUUGUUGGUGGGGUAACGGCUCACCAAGGCGACGAUCCCUAGCUGGUCUGAGAGGAUGACCAGCCACACUGGAACUGAGACACGGUCCAGACUCCUACGGGAGGCAGCAGUGGGGAAUAUUGCACAAUGGGCGCAAGCCUGAUGCAGCCAUGCCGCGUGUAUGAAGAAGGCCUUCGGGUUGUAAAGUACUUUCAGCGGGGAGGAAGGGAGUAAAGUUAAUACCUUUGCUCAUUGACGUUACCCGCAGAAGAAGCACCGGCUAACUCCGUG